GACGAACGCUAGCGGCGUGCCUAAUACAUGCAAGUCGAACGAGAGCGACCGGUGCUUGCACUGGUCAAUCUAGUGGCGAACGGGUGAGUAACACGUGGGUAACCUGCCCAUCAGAGGGGGAUAACAUUCGGAAACGGAUGCUAAAACCGCAUAGGUCUUCGAACCGCAUGGUUUGAAGAGGAAAAGAGGCGCAAGCUUCUUCUGAUGGAUGGACCCGCGGUGCAUUAGCUAGUUGGUGCGGUAACGGCUCACCAAGGCCGUGAUGCAUAGCCGACCUGAGAGGGUGAUCGGCCACAUUGGGACUGAGACACGGCCCAAACUCCUACGGGAGGCAGCAGUAGGGAAUCUUCCGCAAUGGACGCAAGUCUGACGGAGCAACGCCGCGUGAGUGAAGAAGGUUUUCGGAUCGUAAAACUCUGUUGUUAGAGAAGAAUAAGUGCUAGAGUAACUGUUAGCGCCUUGACGGUAUCUAACCAGAAAGCCACGGCUAACUACGUG
rnacentral:rRNA from 1 species